rnacentral:rRNA from 1 species
UACGUAGGGGGCAAGCGUUGUCCGGAAUUAUUGGGCGUAAAGAGCGUGUAGGCGGCUAUCCAAGUCCGAUGUGAAAGCUCGGGGCUCAACCCCGAGUCUGCAUUGGAAACUGGAUGGCUUGAGUCCGGAAGAGGAGACUGGAAUUCCUGGUGUAGCGGUGAAAUGCGCAGAUAUCAGGAAGAACACCGGUGGCGAAGGCGGGUCUCUGGGACGGUACUGACGCUGAGACGCGAAAGCGUGGGGAGCAAACAGG